rnacentral:lncRNA from 12 species
AUGCUCUCAGGGAGAUGUAAAAACUCAUACAGAGACUGUUGCGGCCCGGUUCAAGAAACCCGCCAAAACCCUGCUCGGCUUCUGCCUUUUCUCCGGUUUCUUUCUUUUUCUUUUUCUUUUUCUUUUUCUUUUUCUUGUUUUCUUAUUCUUUUUUUUUAUUUUUUCCUUUUUCCUUUAUUUUUUCUUUCAAUUAGUUUUCAUUUUUCUUUUCCUUUUCCUUGUUUUCUUCUUCUUUUCCCUUUAACUUUUUCUUUUAUUUUUCUUUUAGUUUUCCUUUUCCUUGUUUACUUUUUCUUAUUCUCUUCCAUUUCCUUGUUUUCAUUUUUCUUUUCCCUUUAACUUUUUCUUUUAUUUUUCUUUUAGUUUUCCUUUUCCUUGUUUACUUUUUCUUAUUCUCUUCCAUUUCCUUGUUUUCAUUUUUCCCUUUCCUUUUUUUUUCUUUUAAUUUUUCUCUAAUUUUCCUUUUCCUUGUUUUCUUUUUCUUUUUCUCUUCCAUUUCCUUGUUUUCUUUCUCUUCUCUUCUCUUCUCUUCUCUUCUCUUCUCUUCUCUUCUCUUCUCUUCUCUUCUCUUCUCUUCUCUUCUCUUCUCUUCUCUUCUCUUCUCUUCUCUUCUCUUC